rnacentral:rRNA from 1 species
GAUGAACGCUGGCGGCGUGCCUAAUACAUGCAAGUCGAGCGAACGGACGAGAAGCUUGCUUCUCUGAUGUUAGCGGUGGACGGGUGAGUAACACGUGGAUAACCUACCUAUAAGACUGGGAUAACUUCGGGAAACCGGAGCUAAUACCGGAUAAUAUUUUGAACCGCAUGGUUCAAAAGUGAAAGACGGUCUUGCUGUCACUUAUAGAUGGAUCCGCGCUGCAUUAGCUAGUUGGUAAGGUAACGGCUUACCAAGGCAACGAUGCAUAGCCGACCUGAGAGGGUGAUCGGCCACACUGUAACUGAGACACGGUCCAGACUCCUACGGGAGGCAGCAGUAGGGAAUCUUCCGCAAUGGGCGAAAGCCUGACGGAGCAACGCCGCGUGAGUGAUGAAGGUCUUCGGAUCGUAAAACUCUGUUAUUAGGGAAGAACAUAUGUGUAAGUAACUGUGCACAUCUUGACGGUACCUAAUCAGAAAGCCACGGCUAACUACGUG